AGGAUAAACGCUGGCGGCGUGCUAACACAUGCAAGUCGAACGGAGUACUUCUCCCGAGACCGAGGAAGCUUGCUUCCAAAGAAUCAUUGAAGUACUUAGUGGCGGACGGGUGAGUAACGCGUGGGUAACCUGCCUCACACAGGGGGAUAACAGUUGGAAACGACUGUUAAUACCGCAUAAGCGCACAGUAUCGCAUGGUACAGUGUGAAAAACUCCGGUGGUGUGAGAUGGACCCGCGUCUGAUUAGCUAGUUGGUGAGGUAACGGCCCACCAAGGCGACGAUCAGUAGCCGGCCUGAGAGGGUGUACGGCCACAUUGGGACUGAGACACGGCCCAAACUCCUACGGGAGGCAGCAGUGGGGAAUAUUGCACAAUGGGGGAAACCCUGAUGCAGCGACGCCGCGUGAGUGAUGAAGUAUCUCGGUAUGUAAAGCUCUAUCAGCAGGGAAGAUAAUGACGGUACCUGACUAAGAAGCACCGGCUAAAUACGUGCCAGCAGCAGC
rnacentral:rRNA from 1 species